rnacentral:tRNA from 1 species
CAGUGAAAAGCCAAAUAGAGGCCUUUAACUGUUAAUUAAAUAAUUGUAAUUAUAUUACUUCACUGG